rnacentral:rRNA from 1 species
UGAGAAUCUGCCUAGAGGAUGGGGACAACCACGGGAAACUGUGGCUAAUACCCAAUGAGCGGAGACGUUAAAGAUUUAUCGCCUCUAGAGGAGCUCGCGUCUGAUUAGCUAGUUGGUGGGGUAAAAGCCUACCAAGGCGACGAUCAGUAGCUGGUCUGAGAGGACAACCAGCCACACUGGGACUGAGACACGGCCCAGACUCCUACGGGAGGCAGCAGUGGGGAAUUUUCCGCAAUGGGCGAAAGCCUGACGGAGCAAUACCGCGUGAGGGAGGAAGGCUCUUGGGUCGUAAACCUCUUUUCUCAGGGAAGAAGAAAGUGACGGUACCUGAGGAAUCAGCCUCGGCUAACUCCGUGCCAGCAGCCGCGGUAAUACGGAGGAGGCAAGCGUUAUCCGGAAUUAUUGGGCGUAAAGCGUCCGUAGGUGGCUCUUCAAGUCUGCUGUCAAAGAGUGGGGCUUAACUCCAGAAAGGCAGUGGAAACUGAAAGGCUAGAGAGCCGUAGGGGUAGAGGGAAUUCCCGGUGUAGCGGUGAAAUGCGUAGAGAUCGGGAAGAACAUCGGUGGCGAAAGCGCUCUACUGGACGGUAUCUGACACUGAGGGACGAAAGCUAGGGGAGCGAAUGGGAUU